AUAAACAAACGCGGUUGCGUGACACAGCAGGCAGCUUUCCGUAUGUGUCAAACAGCUGUGCAGCCAAGUGUCAAAUGGAAGCACAAAUUAAAUAACAAUAACUACAUUUUGAUACAUAAUCACACAAAUUAAUGGCGCUGCGCAGCAUCAACAAACUGGAGGUGUUUUUAAAGCGAUGUAGUGCGCCACGGUUGUACUACUGCUGCAACAAAUCCGCACAUAGUGCAACCAAUGGCAUAGGCACCGAUGACAACAACAAUAACUAUAAUAAUAAUAAUAACAAAAACAAAAACAAAAAUGGAUACACCGGCUUCAGUUGGCGUAGUGUCAUUCGGUUCUUUGUGCCUUUCUCGCUUGGCGCACUGGCCAGCACAAUGGUGGCACAGCGGGAGGAGUUGACACCGACGAUAUCGGCGCGCGCGCUGAGCGGACGAAGGCGUGAAUUCAAUUUCAUUGCAGAUGUGGUCGCCGGCUGUGCAGACUCUGUGGUCUACAUAGAGAUUAAGGAUACGCGGCACUUUGACUAUUUCAGUGGCCAGCCUAUUACGGCAUCGAACGGCUCUGGCUUUGUGAUUGAGCAGAACGGUCUUAUUUUAACCAAUGCUCACGUGGUAAUCAACAAGCCGAACACAAUGGUACAGGUGCGUCUGUCGGAUGGUCGCACCUUUCCUGCCACCAUUGAGGAUGUGGACCAAACAUCCGAUCUUGCCACACUACGUAUUCAAGUGAACAACCUGCCCGUGAUGAAGCUCGGCAAAAGCAGCACACUGCGAUCUGGCGAAUGGGUUGUCGCCCUGGGCAGCCCGCUGGCCCUGAGCAAUACGGUGACGGCGGGUGUCAUCAGCUCCACCCAGCGGGCCUCACAGGAGCUGGGGCUGCGCAACCGCGACAUCAAUUACCUGCAAACAGACGCUGCCAUAACCUUUGGCAACUCUGGUGGGCCGCUGGUGAAUCUGGACGGCGAGGCCAUUGGUGUCAACUCCAUGAAGGUCACAGCUGGUAUUAGCUUUGCCAUACCCAUAGACUAUGUAAAAGUAUUUCUGGAGCGUGCUGCAGCGCGACGCAGAAAGGGUUCCGCCUACAAGACAGGCUAUCCAGUUAAACGGUAUAUGGGCAUCACAAUGCUUACCCUCACUCCCGAUAUACUCUUCGAGCUGAAGUCACGGACGCAAAACAUGCCCAAUACUCUGUCGCAUGGUGUUCUAGUGUGGAAGGUUAUUGUGGGCUCACCGGCGCAUAGUGGCGGUCUACAGCCGGGUGACAUUGUAACGCAUAUUAACAAGAAGGAAAUCAAAAACUCCUCCGAUGUUUACGAUGCGUUGGCAGACGGCAAAAAGGAAUUGGAUAUUGUCAUUUUGCGUGGCGUUAAGCAAAUGCGAGUGACUAUUACGCCGGAAGAUCCUUGAUCUAGUUUUAUCCCUGAUCACUGCUAUACACAUAUAAACGCUCUCGAUUUUGGUAUAAUGCUUUUGCAUAAAUUUGUAUGUUUUGUGAUUUGCAAUAUAAAGAGGAACUGCCACCGUAACGCAUAUGCAGUCCGCUAAUUAGGUGGCUGCCACAUAGCAUCCAGUAAUUAUCAUGCUGCGCCCGAAAUUCAAUUCAAAUUAUAGCAAAUCAAAUUUCGGUGUUUACAGUUCAGUUCACUUUUCUUAAAAGCAAAGAUGGAGGAAUCCAUAUACCACAGUUCGUGUCUCGUAUAUCUUAAGAGCAUCUACGUUUCGGCUAUCAAAAACCUCUUUUUUGUUAUAAUAUAGAUUAGUUUGUUGUAUUUUUAAUUAAGAUCAUAAUAAUGUGUAUAAUGCGGUUGGCUGUGCGUCUGCCGCCUACCGCCUGCCGUCGUGUAUUUUGUGGCUGAUCAAGUUCACACGCCUUGUCUACAUUAACAAUACUUAUAUAUUAUAUGUUUAUUAAUGUUUA